CAAUGCAACUUUCGACGACGAGGUAACGUAACUUAUGAGUCAUUUUGCCACGAGCAAUAUUGUAACUUUUAUAUAACCUUGAUAAAUAGAAACAUAAAAUUUCUUGUUGAAUCCUCUUGAACUGCAAUUUCCAAUCGAGCACUGAUUCGACGAAGAAUGCAAUUAUCAUUGACACUCAUCGAUAAGACAAUUUCUUUUUAACUGUAUUGCGAAAGCACGAUAGCCACCGAUGAUUAGUAUUGUCGUAAUUCGAGUGUUGAUUACAGUACCGUUACGGUAGCUGUUAGUUAAAGGUUCGUCGGUGCACCAUGGAGAACGACAAUCAAAAGUCGGUAUGGUCGGUGGAAAAGGGCACAAUGACUAUGUUUAUAGCCGAGGUGCUAGGCACUGGGAUUCUCCUGUUCGUUGGUUGUAUGGGUUCUAUCGGAACGAUGGGAUCCAUACCGCCGCCAUUACAAAGUUCCAUGGCGUUUGGUAUGACUGUCAAUCUUCUGAUUAUGAUGCUGGGACACAUAAGUGGUGCACAUUUAAACCCCGCUGUCACGAUAGGAGCGGUUAUUCUAGGAAUUAAAACCAUCCCCACAGGAAUCCUUUACGCAAUCGCGCAAUUCAUUGGAGCAACUAUUGGAUAUGGAAUAUUAAUGACGAUAACUCCACCCGAAUUGUUCAAUGAUGGACGUUCAAACGUGACAAUUGGACACUGUGUAACCGUUGUACAUCCUGGAAUAAGUAUCACGCAGGCUAUUAUAGUCGAGAUUCUUUGCACAUCCUUUAUACUUUGUGCAGCAUGCGCCACUUGGGACCCAAGAUGCGCCCACACUACAGAUUCUACAGCGAUCAGAUUCGGUUUCUCCGUUGUUGGAGUUUCACUUGCAGCGAGUCCUUACACCGGUUGUAGUAUGAAUCCUGCGCGUACUUUCGGCCCAGCUUUUUGGAACGGGAAUUGGACGAAUCAAUGGAUUUACUGGUUCGGACCGUGUGCCGGAGCCUUUCUUGGAACGUAUAUUUAUGUAUAUUUUUUUGCCGAGAAGAAAGAGAACAAACAUGACGAUUGUCUCGAAUUUACGGAAUUAAAAGCAAUUAAUGAUGAUAUAAAUUAUAGCGAAAAAAAAAAUAAAAAAGAGGAAAAUCUCGAACUCGAAGAAAGCUAUUUAUGAUAAAUGGAGAAGGUGUUUAAUGAUCGUUAAGCACUGCGACGCCACAUGCCUAUAUAAGAGGAUCGCUCGGCGUGGCUCAACGCAUUUGUAAAUCAGUUUCCAGAGGAGUCAGAGGUGGCGUUCAAAGUGUGCAGUAGUGUGAAAAUUUCUUCCUCCACUAUGUUUACAGUUAAUUCGUCAUUAUUUCUUGGCAAUAAUAUCAUUAUUGCAAUAUCAUCUACAGAAUUGAAAAUUCUCCAUUUCACCAUAGAAGACACAUGAGUUUUCAAGAACGGAAUUAUUGAAGAAAGAAAAAAAGAAUGGCUCGACGCAUUCAUAAAGAAACUUUCGUUCGGAUGCAGUGAAUAUUCAAUUUCAUCAACUGAUCAUAUUUCUUCUAUUAUGCGAUCUACGACAACAUGACAUGAAAACAAACGAAUGGAUUGCGAAGUUGGACUAUUUACGUGCACCCUACGGGGUCGGUGCUUGAACGCAACUAUAAUAUGGUCUGAUUAGAGUUUGAAAUUUCUUCAUACAUUUUGAACUAUUUGAGAAGAGCAUCUCGAGAUAUAUUAGGUAAGCGGUUAUUGAACCGAUGUAUUUCUAUUGUUCUACAAUCUUAACGUUAUAAUAUAAGAUCAGAAAAUUAACAUUUAGGGCUCACAGUGUCGCUACUUAAUUAUUUAAUUCAAAAUAUAAUAUAAAUAUAAAUGUCAUAUUAUAUGUUAAAAAUAAUAUUUUAAAUUGAACGUAUAAAUUUUGAUAUAUUUCACAUUUCAAAGAAUUCUCUUAAAUCAAACUGAAUGUAGCGUCACUUUAGCCUUUAUCCUAGUUUAGUUACAAAUCAGUUACUUAAAGUAUCGUUUUUUAUUUCUUCUAUGUUAAAUAGAAUUUAAUGUAUUUUCACGAUGUCUGCUCACUACUGAGAGAAUCGUAAAGUACCGACUGUUUAAAAUAUGUUGAUGAGGAACACUCGUUAGUUUUAAAUUUUAUCGAUUUUUAAUUAUUUUUAACUAUUUUUUAAAUUUCCCCUGUUUAUUACUUUAUUAUAAUUUCUUUGAUAAAUAUUCGAUCAAAUAUAUUAAUUUACCUUGAAUUGAAACCUCGAAGUUGAAGUCGAUAAAUGCAAAUUGAUAUUUCUACGAAUGUGCCUCAUCCACGUGAAAGUCUUUAAUUCAACGUGACGUUCUUUUUAUAGUUUAGAGCAGACUCGUAGUUAGAGGUCGAGAAUAAAUUGUGGGCACCAUCUUGUCUAAACCAAUACUCUACUACAAAGGCAUAUGGAAUUUGGGAAUUGAGAAAAAAGUACACAGAUCAAAUAGAACCGAAAAUGAAAAAAA